UGUAAGUCGAACGUGAAGAUGCAGCAAUGUAUCUGAAAGUGGCGGACGGGUGAGUAACACGUAGGUAACCUGCCUCGAAGUGGGGGAUAACCAUUGGAAACGAUGGCUAAUACCGCAUGGACUUGUUGGAAUGGGAAUUUUGGCAAGUAAAGCCUUGGCGCUUCGAGAGGGGUCUGCGUCCGAUUAGCUAGUUGGUAGGGUAAAGGCCUACCAAGGCGAUGAUCGGUAGCUGGUCUGAGAGGACGAUCAGCCACACGGGAACUGAGAAACGGUCCCGACUCCUACGGGGGGCAGCAGUGAGGAAUAUUGCACAAUGGGCGCAAGCCUGAUGCAGCAACGCCGCGUGGAGGAUGAAGGUUUUCGGAUUGUAAACUCCUUUUACGGGGGAAAAGAACGGAUGGUACCCCGUGAAUAAGUCACGGCUAACUACGUGCCAGCAGCCGCGGUAAUACGUAGGUGACGAGCGUUAUCCGGAUUUAUUGGGCGUAAAGCGUACGCAGGCGGUUGAUUAAGUCUGACGUGAAACCUCCCGGCUUAACUGGGAGCGGUCGUUGGAAACUAAUUGACUUGAGGCAAUGAGAGGUAGGCAGAAUUCCCGGUGUAGUGGUGGAAUGCGUAGAUAUCGGGGGGAAUACCAGUGGCGAAAGCGGCCUACCAGCAUUGUACUGACGCUCAUGUACGAAAGCGUGGGGAGCAAACGGGAUUAGAUACCCCGGUAGUCCACGCCGUAAACGAUGAACACUAGGUGUGGGAGGCCUUAAAAACCUUCUGUACCGAAGCCAACGCGAUAAGUGUUCCGCCUGGGAAGUACGGCCGCAAGGCUAAAACUCAAAGGAAUUGACGGGGACCCGCACAAGCAGCGGAGCGUGUGGUUUAAUUCGAUGCGACGCGAAAACCUUACCUGGGUUUGACAUGUACGUAGUAGUGAG
rnacentral:rRNA from 1 species